AGGUUGAAAUGAGCUUUGUGUACCCAGACUUGCUUACAUCCUUCCUGGGUGUAAACCUCCAGGUGGACCUGCUGGACUUGAAACAGAAAUGUUUAGAGACCAAAGCAAAUCUGGUAAGACAGACCUUUGGAAGUUUCUGGGCUAUGCAGAGGAGGCAAUUUAUGCCGUAAACUGUGUCAUUUCCUCAGUUCUGGAGCUAGUGUUUCUUUUCAUCCGGCUGAUGAAGUUCCUGAGGCUUUUCUUUCCUGUGGCUUCACUAGGCAUUGCACUUGGUGCCACAAGAUCUCUGAAGCUAACGUCCACUAGUCUUAGCACCAUUCUGCAGAGCAGCAAGCUGAGGCUUCAAAGAAGGACCGGAUCUUGCCUGAGGUCAGAGACCAAGCCCUAACCAUCCUGCCCUACCAACUUCCAGCCCACGUUUCAACUUUCAGCAGUGGUUGGGCCACAUUUGGUGUCUUGGACCUGGGUUUCCCAAACAACCCGCAAUCCUCGUACUUCCCAGGAGUUCUCUCAGGGGAAGAACGAACAUAAACACACACCCGACCAGCCUAGUCCAUUUUCCCCUCCCAACUGCAGAGCCUCGGCCCCUAAAGGGGCUGCGAGGUGCCAGGGUCUGAUGUGUGUCUGUGGAAGGGGUUGGGAGGGGAAAGAGUCCCUUUCAGUGCUCGGGUGUGUGUGUGCAACUUCCUGCCAGUGAGGAAACAGUAGGCUCAAAUCAGCCCUGGUUCUCCUUUCCUUGCUCUGGCCUCCCAGGAGGAGCUGGCAGCGAGCCGCAGGCCGCGCUGGCCUCAGCCUGAUUUCCCGGCCAAACGCGGGAGGAGAGAUGCCCUGGACCGUCUUGCUCUUUGCAGCUGGCUCUUUGGCGAUCCCAGCGCCGUCCAUCCUCCUGGUGCCUCCCCACCCCAGUAGCCAAGAGGACCCCAUCCACAUAUCGUGCAUGGCCCCUGGGGACUUCCGGGGGGCAAAUUUCACACUGUACCAAGGGGAGCAGGUGGUGCAGCUCCUGCAGGCCCCCUCAGACCAGCUCGGGGUCACCUUCAACCUGAGUGGCGGCAGCAGGGAGGCUCCAAGGGGACCAUUCCGCUGCCAGUAUGGUGUGCUCGGCGAGCACAGGCAGCCCCAGCUGUCGAACCUCAGCGAGCCUGUGCACGUCUCUUUCCCAGUGCCCACCUGGAUCCUGGCACUCUCGCUGAGCCUGGCUGGAGCCUUCCUCCUCCUCGCUGGGCUGGUGGUUGUUGCCGUGGUCGUCAGGAAAGUUAAAGUAAAACAAUUGCAGAAGAAACGCGCCCGCAGUGUGCCGGGCACUGUGCUCGGAGACUCUGGACCCAGAGCUCACAGGAUCCUAUCAGCAGAUCUGGAAGCAGGCGCUGUGAAUAGUCCCAUUUUACAGAUGAGGCUGAGACUUCCUUACAUCUCUUUACUGCCAGCUGUCAAAAAGUGUUGGGUAAUCUGGCUAGAAAUCCACAGGUGGUGGGGGACCAGGGGGAGGUGAGUGGUGCCCCUGGGGUUGUGCAGUGUAGCCUGUAGGCAGUGGCCCUGGUUCCUGGGCAUCCAUCAACUGGCCCCGGCCUCGGUUUCUCCGCUCUGAGAGAGGGGUGGACAGUGCGCUGCCUGGUGGCUGAGAACCAGCAACCCUGGGGAUCAAAUCCUGACUUCACCUAGUGGUGGGGCUCCUGUAAGAGAAUUUCCAUCUGAGGGGAUUCCAAGAGGAUGCAGGGGUCGGUGGGGAGGAAGGGCCAAGUUUGGGCCUAGGGCUUCCCAGAACAAAACUCCUGCCUGAGACAAGUCAUCACCUUCUCCCAAAUGCCUCUGCAGAGAGCGAGAAUCCUGCUGGACCCAGAUUAACUUCGCCACCACAGACAUGUCCUUCGAUAACACCUUGUUUACCAUCUCGAAAAUGUCUUUAGAAGGAGAUGCAGCCACUCUGGAUUCUCCCUCAGGCUCUACUGUGACACCUGGCAAC